AGUAAACAUGCUCUUCUCUAGCACUUGGGACUUCUUGGUGUCUUAGGAGAGACCUGAGGAGCUGUGUGUGUGUGUGCACGCACAUGUGCGUGUGUGUGCAUGCGUGUGUGUGUGUUGUGUCCUGUGGCCCCAGGCCAGCAGGGUGCCUGGCACAGAGCAGCCACUCCUUCCAGAGCGUACCCUGUUCUCUCCAGAAUGCCUGCCGCCUGGCCACUUGCAUCCUCUGAGGACUCAGCCCAGUGUCACUGCCUUUGGGCAGCCUUCCCUGGCGGCCAUCUCCCUGCCCACAGGGGGCGUGUGCAUCGCCCAGUCGGUGAAGAUACCACGGGAGCCCAAGGCAGGCGAGUUCGACAAGAUCAUCCGCCGCCUCCUGGAGACUUCGAACGCCAGGGCAGUCAUCAUCUUUGCCAACGAGGAUGACAUCAGGCGUGUGCUGGAGGCAGCACGAAGGGCCAACCAGACAGGCCAUUUCUUCUGGAUGGGCUCUGACAGCUGGGGCUCCAAGAUUGCACCUGUGCUGCACCUGGAGGAGGUGGCUGAGGGUGCUGUCACGAUCCUCCCCAAGAGGAUGUCCGUACGAGGCUUCGACCGCUACUUCUCCAGCCGCACGCUGGACAACAACCGGCGCAACAUCUGGUUUGCCGAGUUCUGGGAGGACAACUUCCACUGCAAGCUGAGCCGCCACGCCCUCAAGAAGGGCAGCCACGUCAAGAAGUGCACCAACCGUGAGCGAAUUGGGCAGGAUUCAGCUUAUGAGCAGGAGGGGAAGGUGCAGUUUGUGAUCGAUGCCGUGUACGCCAUGGGCCACGCGCUGCACGCCAUGCACCGUGACCUGUGUCCCGGCCGCGUGGGGCUCUGCCCGCGCAUGGACCCUGUAGAUGGCACCCAGCUGCUUAAGUACAUCCGAAACGUCAACUUCUCAGGCAUCGCAGGGAACCCUGUGACCUUCAAUGAGAAUGGAGAUGCGCCUGGGCGCUAUGACAUCUACCAAUACCAGCUGCGCAACGACUCUGCCGAGUACAAGGUCAUUGGCUCCUGGACUGACCACCUGCACCUUAGAAUAGAGCGGAUGCACUGGCCGGGGAGCGGGCAGCAGCUGCCCCGCUCCAUCUGCAGCCUGCCCUGCCAACCGGGUGAGCGGAAGAAGACAGUGAAGGGCAUGCCUUGCUGCUGGCACUGCGAGCCUUGCACAGGGUACCAGUACCAGGUGGACCGCUACACCUGUAAGACGUGUCCCUAUGACAUGCGGCCCACAGAGAACCGCACGGGCUGCCGGCCCAUCCCCAUCAUCAAGCUUGAGUGGGGCUCGCCCUGGGCCGUGCUGCCCCUCUUCCUGGCCGUGGUGGGCAUCGCUGCCACGUUGUUCGUGGUGAUCACCUUUGUGCGCUACAACGACACGCCCAUCGUCAAGGCCUCGGGCCGUGAACUGAGCUAUGUGCUGCUGGCGGGCAUCUUCCUGUGCUAUGCCACCACCUUCCUCAUGAUCGCUGAGCCCGACCUUGGCACCUGCUCGCUGCGCCGAAUCUUCCUGGGACUAGGGAUGAGCAUCAGCUAUGCAGCCCUGCUCACCAAGACCAACCGCAUCUACCGCAUCUUCGAGCAGGGCAAGCGCUCGGUCAGUGCCCCACGCUUCAUCAGCCCCGCCUCACAGCUGGCCAUCACCUUCAGCCUCAUCUCGCUGCAGCUGCUGGGCAUCUGUGUGUGGUUUGUGGUGGACCCCUCCCACUCGGUGGUGGACUUCCAGGACCAGCGGACACUCGACCCCCGCUUCGCCAGGGGUGUGCUCAAGUGUGACAUCUCGGACCUGUCGCUCAUCUGCCUGCUGGGCUACAGCAUGCUGCUCAUGGUCACGUGCACCGUGUAUGCCAUCAAGACACGCGGCGUGCCCGAGACCUUCAACGAGGCCAAGCCCAUUGGCUUCACCAUGUACACCACUUGCAUCGUCUGGCUGGCCUUCAUCCCCAUCUUCUUUGGCACCUCGCAGUCGGCCGACAAGCUGUACAUCCAGACUACGACGCUGACGGUCUCGGUGAGUCUGAGCGCCUCAGUGUCCCUGGGAAUGCUCUACAUGCCCAAAGUCUACAUCAUCCUCUUCCACCCGGAGCAGAACGUGCCCAAGCGCAAGCGCAGCCUCAAAGCCGUCGUUACGGCGGCCACCAUGUCCAACAAGUUCACGCAGAAGGGCAACUUCCGGCCCAACGGAGAGGCCAAGUCUGAGCUCUGCGAGAACCUUGAGGCCCCAGGGAGCUCAUAGGCCACUGACUCCACCCAACUCUGGCCAGGAGAAAAUUCUUCCUUUAACUGAGCUGGACCCUGACCUUCAUGCCUCCCUACUGGUCCCAUGGUGGACCCCUCUGCUCACCCCAUCCCCAAGCAGUUUGCUUCUUCCACAUGUGAUAGACUGAUAGUUGGACACCAAACUUCUGCCUGUGUUAGUGGGCUUCCAGUUACACUGCUGUGACAAAGAGGUCCCAGAACUGAGCAGCUCAAAUCAGACAGAUGUUUGUUGCUCUCUGCCAUAAUAGGACAUGGUGGGUGGGUGGGAGUGAGGACCCAGGAUCCUUCCAUCUUGUUGCUCCAUUGGCUCCCUGAAGAUUGAGGCUAGAUGACCUCAAUGGUUGUUCUGCUCAUGGAAGGGAAAAGAGAAGAUGCAUGGGGGAAAGACCCAUUUUAAUUGAAUGACAUGGGAGCUGCACACAGUCCUUCCAUGUGUAUUUCAUGAGGAAGAACACAGUCAGCGCUGGCCACCAAACAGACUUACGUCACUUACACCAACCAUGCAAUCUAGCGAGUCCAUGGAGCUGAGCAGCAGGAGGAGGAGCCGUGACCCUGUGGAAGGUGCGUCGGGCCAGGGCCACACCCAAGGGCCCAGCUGAUGUCUUGCCUGCCCGUGGGCACCCACGGACGUGGCUUGGUGCUGAGGAUAGCAGAGCCCCCAGCCGUCACUGCUGGCAGCCUGGGCAAACCGGGUGAGCAACAGGAGGACGAGGGGCCGGGGCGGUGCCAGGCUACCACAAGAACCUGCGUCUUGGACCAUUGCCCCUCCCGGCCCCAAACCACAGGGGCUCAGGUCGUGUGGGCCCCAGUGCUAGAUCUCUCCCUCCCUUCGUCUCUGUCUGUGCUGUUGGCGACCCCUCUGUCUGUCUCCAGCCCUGUCUUUCUGUUCUCUUAUCUCUUUGUUUCACCUUUUCCCUCUCUGGCGUCCCCGGCUGCUUGUACUCUCGGCCUUUUCUGUGUCUCCUUUCUGGCUCUUGCCUCCGCCUCUCUCUCUCAUCCUCUUUGUCCUCAGCUCCUCCUGCUUUCUUGGGUCCCACCUGUGUCACUUUUCUGCCGUUUUCUUUCCUGUUCUCCUCUGCUUCAUUCUCGUCCAGCCAUUGCUCCCCUCUCCCUGCCACCCUUCCCCAAUUCACCAAACCUUACAUGUUGCAAAAGAGAAAAAAGGAAAAAAAAUCAAAACACAAAAAAGCCAAAACG
rnacentral:sRNA from 1 species